UACGGAGGGGACUAGCGUUGUUCGGAAUUACUGGGCGUAAAGCGCACGUAGGCGGAUUUGUAAGUCGGGGGUGAAAUCCUGGAGCUCAACUCCAGAACUGCCUUCGAUACUGAGGACCUUGAGUCCGGGAGAGGUGAGUGGAACUGCGAGUGUAGAGGUGAAAUUCGUAGAUAUUCGCAAGAACACCAGUGGCGAAGGCGGCUCACUGGCCCGGUACUGACGCUGAGGUGCGAAAGCGUGGGGAGCAAACAGG
rnacentral:rRNA from 1 species